rnacentral:rRNA from 2 species
CACAUGACUCUCGGCAACGGAUAUCUCGGCUCUCGCAUCGAUGAAGAACGUAGCGAAAUGCGAUACCUGGUGUGAAUUGCAGAAUCCCGCGAACCAUCGAGUCUUUGAACGCAAGUUGCGCCCGAGGCCACCCGGCUGAGGGCACGCCUGCCUGGGCGUCACGC